GCCAAAUGUGUGACUUUUCAGGCUUACUUCCCAGGUCACUGUAAGAAGUCAUAAGAUGAAGUCCAGCCAUGCCGUGAGUCACAGAAACAACUUGCUGUGCUACACACUCAACCUAACUCCACUCCUCAGAGCCUCGGCACCCGAAUGCUCCAGAGAGCCAUCUCCCAUGGUCCCUUGUUGGGAAUCUCGCUUCAGAGGAGAAAGGGGCCACUAACCUCAGGCCUGCCUGCAGGUACCACACCACGGUGAGGAACAAAAACACCUAACUACCCUGGGCUCUUCAGUACCCCGGAAACCUACCACCCAGGGCUCCUAGGCACAUCUUGAAGCAUUUUGACUAUCAAGAAGGAUCUGCAUGCAAAUUUCAGAAUCCAUCUGUCAGUUCUCUUUGCAGAGAGUGUUGGAGCAAUGUCACGGAAGGAAAUCCAGAGAGACAGGGUAAUGGGCCUGGGUGACUGCUAAUGGGACCUUUGAGUCUCUGGGCUGUCAACUCUGCUUCCCCUAAGCACACAUUUGGAGUUCAAGUUCAGCAAGGUGGACUUGUGUUCUGAUUUGUUGAUUUUCAAGAGAAAAAGAAAAUGAAAUCAAUUUUCUCUUGGAGGCUUUGUAUCUCAGGAAAACCAAUAGUUUAACCAUUCAUGUAUUCGGUGAGGGCAAGGGUUGUUUUCAAACACUAGAUUGUGGGAGACGCUAGGACAAUUUUCCUCAUAUGCUAAAAAUUAUUUCUCUGUGUUGUGCCACUCACUGGAUGGGCUUGAAAAGAGAGAACAGGACUGCAGAACUGUCUGCUAUGGCUUCUGGCACUGUUCAGUUUGGGAACAAUUGUGUUGUUGUUUAAUCGCCUCAAGAUAAAAUAUCAACUUUUUAAGGGAGAAAUGGAAAUGGUGAUAUCAAGAGACCCAGGUUAGCUGACUUCUCAGUGAAGAAGUUGAAGUGUCUCCAGCCCAGGUUGUUUCAGAGCAGACUUCCUGAGGCAGCAGUCAAUAGAGGUUUUCUUUCGGUCCACCCUUCCCUUUACCUCUGUUUUCUUGUGUCGGGAACCCAAGUGGGCUUCCUCUGGCUGCUCUUCUAGCUCCGUAGGACAUUAGGAAGUCCUGCCCUUGUACCGGAAGCUCGGUGAUCUUCAGUGAUCCUGAGCCUGAUUGCUGCUCUCUCUCAUCUGUUGACUGUAACCUGUGCUUUGCACUUCUCCUAAGCAAAGGUGGGCUUCCCAUUCUAAUUUCUCCCAAAGACCACAGAGUUCCUUAUGCAGGUUUGUUGACAUCUUCCAGAAUGUUUCAAGCCAAUGCUACAAGCUACCAGAGAGAUGCACCUGCUGCUGAUGGCUUAGCAGUUAUCUAUAUGGCUGAGUAACAAUAUUGUCACACAAAGCAAGGACUGUGUAUUUGUCCACAGGUUCACAGUCUGAAAGUUGGACCAAGGUGGAAUAGUUUUAAAGUCUCAUUCAAACCCUUCAUCUUUGGGCUGCUAUGGCUGAGACAUACAAGAGUUUUGGGGACCUAUGAUCCCUGUAGAGUGGUCUGACUUACAUAGUGAAGCUUUCGGGCUUCUGAAAGUGUGGGCUCAGAAGUUCUGGAAUAUCACUUUCUACAUCAGCCUGCAUUAAGAGAGGAGAGACUUCUCAGUGCCAACCAGGAUGGGAAGAAUUAGGCCUUUGAAGACAGUCUAGUCUUACCCCUGCACAAUUUGGUGCAAGUAGGCUUCAUGACACCAGUGUGAGCCAAUUAAGAAGACACACACCAGGGUCAGAGGGUAGCCACAAUGGGCGUAGUGUUGGGACCCUUCUCCUGCUUGGCCUUGUCACCUAUGAAGUGUGUAUAGAUACAUUCCUGUGACUUACAGAGCGGAAAGACAGAGGAGAAGGAAGAGACACUCCCUACUAAGGUCUGGGAGGACUGUUCAGCAGGGGACUCAUGGCUCCUAGGGCUGUGGGUUCCAUGUACAGGGACAAAUCCAAGAAACAGUUGUGGGGGGAUCAGCAGGAGUGUGAACAUGUGAGCAGGAAACUGGGAUCUUAACCAUUAGUGGGACUUUUCCUGGUGCUGAAUUGGGUACCUGGGAAGACCAGAGAGCCCAAUUAGCAUUGUAAAGAAAACCACACCAGAUUUAUUUACUAAGUGCUCAGGGUUAGGGACCUAAAUCUCCAUUCAGUGUUUGAUAUACCAAAAGGGAUGUCUGAGUGAUUAGUUUCCACUUACUUACCAGGGACUUUCAGGAUGUCAUCAAAUGGCGUGCCCAUCUGUUCAUGGUGGGAGGAGUUCUGGAGUUUGGAAUGGGACAUAAGAAGUUAAGAGUCUGUGAGUUCCCUUUUGCAUGCUUAUGUGCGAUCAGGUGACUGGAAAACAUAUAAGCUCUGUUAGUCUACAAUAGUUGAGACAACAAGCCUCAAGUAAUAUUGUAGUGAAUGAGCCCAGCAUCUUUCUAAAGAGAUGCUAUGCUAAGGAACGCUGUGGUGGAUGAGCCCAGUGUUUUCUGAUGCUGAGUAACUCCGACAUAUUCUGAAGUGAGAUUUGUAAGUAAGUGAUAUUCCAGUGAGUGAAUGCCACAUUGGCUGAAGUGGUAUUUAUUAGUCGACAUAAUACCGGAGUGAGCGAGGCUAGCACUCUGCACGCUCAGCAGCUCUGAACCAGCACGAGGCUGGAAAGUCCUCAGUGGACACACACAGAGAGCAGACAUCUGCUAAGCUCUCAAGUGGAGACUGGGCUCUGCAUGGCUGUGGCCUUUCUAAAAAGGCUAUUACACUGCUUACAUACAAAACGCAAAAUCUAACAUGUCCCUAAACCAUAUAAAAAAUGACCCAAAAUAUCGUGAACAGUGUCCUACAGGAUAAGACAGAACUCGAAUCCUGUGAUGUGUUGGGAUGCUUGCAGCCCACCGUUUUCAAGUAACUUUUUGGCAGAAAGUCCAAGGCUAAGCCCCUCUUCUGCAAGUUUACUGAGGGCUUGUGGUACUGGUCCUACCAUGCACAACCUGGUGAACAACACAGAAAACUUGGCUUUGGACAGGGCCAGACUGUAAGUUCUGACCCAGCCCAUGCUGCUGCCUUCCGCUGAGAGGCAAAGCAAACCCCUCAUGCUAUUUGUUUGAAGGUUGCCGUUCCCCAAACCAAAGAUUUUUUUUCCAAAAGCCCAGCAAACAAAAUAUUGAGAAAAAAAUUAAUGGAAAUGAAAACCUGGGCCUGAACAAAGAAAAAAAAUAACAAACCAUAAAGACCCUCCCCUCCCUGAGUUUGACUGUUUUAGCUCAUGUACCUGGUAAAUAGAAGACUCUAGUCUGUGUCUGAGGUGCAGGAUUCACUGAGUGGAUCCACUGUUUGCAAGAAUGAUUACGAGGCUGGAGAGAUGGCUCCGCGGUUAAGAGCAGUGACCGCUCUUCCAGAGGUCCUGAGUUCAAAUCCCAGCAACCACAUGGUAGCUCACAACCAUCUGUAAUGGGAGCCGAUUCCUUCUUGUGUCUGAAGAAGUGUACUCAUACACAUAAAAUAAGUAAAUAAUUCCUCUGUACUGGGAUCCGAUGCAGUCUUCUGAUGUGUCUCAUAUAAACAUAUAAACAGUGUGCUCAUAUAAAUAAAUCAAAAAAAUAAAAAUAAAAGAAUGAUUAUGCCUCAACCAGUCAUAUGACUUUUGGUCCUCUGGGUACAUUUCUUUGUCUCCUUCACUUUAUAGAUAAGGGAACUGUCC
rnacentral:lncRNA from 1 species